UAAGACAGAGGGUGCAAACGUUGCUCGGAAUCACUGGGCGUAAAGGGCGUGUAGGCGGGAAGGAAAGUCAGAUGUGAAAUCCCCAGGCUCAACCUGGGAACUGCAUUUGAAACUCCCUUUCUUGAGUACCGGAGAGGAAAGUGGAAUUCCUGGUGUAGAGGUGAAAUUCGUAGAUAUCAGGAGGAACACCAGUGGCGAAGGCGGCUUUCUGGACGGUAACUGACGCUGAGACGCGAAAGCGUGGGGAGCAAACAGGAUUAGAUACCCUGGUAGUCCACGCUGUAAACGAUGAGUGCUAGGUGUCGUGGGUAUUGACCCCCGCGGUGCCGUAGCUAACGCAUUAAGCACUCCGCCUGGGAAGUACGGUCGCAAGACUA
rnacentral:rRNA from 1 species